rnacentral:tRNA from 1 species
CGUUCUAUGGCCGAACUGGUGAAGGCAUCGCCAGUUACAGGCGAAGAUAAGGGUUCGAGUCCCGCUGGAACGG